rnacentral:lncRNA from 1 species
UAUUAUUGCCCUGCUACUAAUACUAAUUUUCCAAAAAAACAUUGAAUGUGUAAAAAUAAUCUUUUAGUUGGAGUAAAAAAUCUUGCCAAAGUUAAUUGGGUGGCCUAUUAACCCGAAAUACUUAACUUAAUCACAACAGAAAUGAAGUGCCGACAACACAAAUGUGGCCUCCUUGUUGGAUUAUUCAUUAGUAAGAAUUGUUCUGGUUCCUAAAUCUAUGUUAGGUAGGAUGGAUACAACCAUUAUUCUUGAAGGUGCAUAUCCAAAAUCAAGUAAAAACAAUAUUUCAAAUGAUGGCCCAAACAACCAUCUAACUUUAUGUUAGGAAAGUCAUAAACUACACAUCAUUCUGAUUUAGAAGUCAUAUAAUACCUUUUGGUCCUCAGAGCCAUUCUUCUCUUUUCUUUCCUUGUCGUGAAGUGCGGUAUAAACUUUGAAGUACCAAGAGCUGCAAAUUGAACUCAGAAGUCAAAAUAGGUCGUACGAACAAAACAAAAUAAACCUUUAUCUAUAAUGAAAGUUGAGUGCAAAACUACUAUACAGUAAAGCCAUGGAAUUUCAAAUAUAAGCCGGGAUGGGGAGAUGCGAUGUAGAGAAACAUAGCUAAAUAUAAGAAUGAAGCACUUAGGCUUGCGAAACACUGAACAACAUUGCCCUAAGGAUCAGAUCAAGUUCUUUGCUAACUGGUCACUCACAUGCUCUUCUUGGCCAUUCUCUGGAUUUAUGGAGAAGAUCCCUUGAACCUAAGAAUGCAAAAUGAGAAAAAUCAUGUUGAUUCAGACCUUAUUGAUAUACAAAAGGAGAAAUCUAUGUAUUUUGACUUUCUCUACGAUUCUAUAUUUGAACUACCUAUGAAGAAAGCUUUCGUUUACCAAACAAAUACACCUUUUGUGUGUCGCUGCUUAUUUGAAUCUUACACUUAGUCACCUUCAAAUAUCAAUUUGUCUUCUAGCUAGUUAAGUGUGCAUAUUGAAUCUUGAAGUAUAUAAUUCCACAGAUAAAAAAUUACCCCAAAUCAUAAAUCAAAGUAUAUAAUUCCAAAGGCUGAAACCCUAAAUCAAAGUCAUAUACAAUUCCGCAGACACUAAAAUAUCUAAACUCCCUUUAAUUCACCAUAUAUAAUUCCGCAGAUAAAAAAAUGACUCCAAAUCAUAAAAGGAAAUCAAUGAGAAAUUCAUGAAAGGCAGCAAAAAAAAUGAUAAGAAAAUACUGUUGUAGAUCAUAUUGGAGUUUUAGCCGCUGAUACUGACCUUUUCAACACUUCUUGUAUCAUGCCCUUGCUCAUGAACCUCUCCGCCAUUGUCUUUACUUGGAGGACCGAUCUUCCCUGCAGCAACAUCAUCCUGAAAGUCACAACCAAAACAUAUCAUAACCAAGCAACAAUCUCAUAGUCGAUCAGUGAUCAUUUAUGUUGCAGAUCUUUGCUGCAUUCCCACCACUCAAGGGGCGUCAUUCAUUAUACUACCAACAUCCUCCUGCAGUGAACAACCAAAUUAGAAAAACAGUGGUCUCGUGAUUAUUCAAGGAGCCAUUUUUCUCAAAACCAACACCCCCUGAAAUCAAUAACCAAACCAGACUAACUAACCAGCAAUCCCACCAAACAUCAAUAACCACAAUUUUCACACCUUCACUGCAUCUGCGCCGUCAUUAUCUAGUGUCAACAUUCCCCCGCAAUCAAUAAUUUUACUACUCAGGCGGUCUCGUUGGUGGGCAACCUGCAGAAGCGAAUAGCUUGAGAACCUUUGCAUCUGCGCCGUCAUUAUCUAGUGUCAACAUUCCCCCGCAAUCAAUAAUUUUACUACUCAGGCGGUCUCGUUGGUGGGCAACCUGCAGAAGCGAAUAGCUUGAGAACCUUUGCCUCCUGAGCGGUGGCGCCCUCGCCCUCCCUGGCCAGGAGGCCUGUCCGAGGCAUGCCGCGGGGGUUGAUGACGAUGCUGGGCAGCCGCUCGAUGUCCCAGCCGAGCACGCUGCAUAUAACAGACCCAACACGCUCAGAGGCAAAGAACAAAGGGAAAAGUGAGAGAGCAAUGAGGAGGCACCUGAGGUGAGGCGAGGCCAGUGACGGGCAACGGCGAUGACACUCUGACCUUGAUCCAGUCACGAGAAACCCCGAUCCACCAGCGCCUUGUGCUUCCCCGUGGAUGACGCCCAGCUUCCUCCCGUCGACGGCGCGACGAUCCACUGCUCCGCUGGCUCGUGCUCCUCCUCGCCGCGUCUCCUCCGCGUGCGGCGCCGACGGACUCCGGACGCAUCUAGGCCAGACGGCGACAGAGACGGGCGGCACAGAGGAGAGGAGGAGGACGGGCGGCGGCGACACAGAGGAGGAGGAAGACGGGCAACGGCAGUGCAGAGGAGAGGAGGAGGAUGGGCAGCGGUGCCGCAGAGGAGAGGAGGAGGACGGGUGGCGGCGGCUCAGAGGAGAGGAGGAGGUAGGGUUACGGGAGGGGAAGCCGCGAGGGGAGGACGGAGCGGAGCUGCGCGUGUGCGGGAGGUGGCUUGCUGCACUUAUAUGCCACCAGGUGAAAUGACGAAAUUACCCUUAGCGGGCCACCAAAUUUACAGGCGGUGGCAUGACGACCCCGAUUAAAUGACUAAAAUACCCUGGUGCUCUGUUUGUAAAGCGUCCCUAAAGCGUCGCUUAAGCGACGCUUAAGCGUUAGAGCGCCCUCCAGGCUCAAAGCGUCCAACUCGCUUUAGACAUGUGUCUAAGGCGUCCGCCUUAGACACUAAAGCGUCUGAAGCGCCUGCUUAGGCAUCCUGAUUGGCGCUUUAAGGCAGAGAGGACGCCUUAGACUUGCCAGGCAGGGUACAGAGAUUCCUGGCAGGGAAACAGGGCUGGGCUCACAUUUGAAACAGUUACAGGAGGGGAAAGAAAGAGAGAGAACCAAAACCAGAGCGUGCAAAUAUCCAGGCUUUCAGCUCUUUCCUCUCUCCUCUGGCAGCAGCUUCCUCAGAUCUGCACCAGCCUUUUCUGCUCUGUUGUGUGUUAUGCUAUGCACAACUCCUCUGCUGUUAGGUGCUACUGCCUCUCUUAUAGCAAUUGGCUAGUUGCUUGCUGCUUAGUGGAUGGAUCAGAAUAUAUGGGCUCACUGGUGGAUUAGAAUCAACAUAUAUAUGUCUCACUAAAUGGUGCUCUAUUAUACUGCCCAUCAGGUUCAGAGUCUGUCUAAAGCGUCGCCUCGCUUUACGCUUUAUCGCUUAAGCAGUGAGGCGCCCCCCUAGCGCCUCGCUUCGCUUUACCGCUUUAUAAACAUAGCCCUGGUGUGGGCAAAGAUAUUACAUUCUGAUGCAAUUGAAAUUUUAUCCGACGGCCGAAGUUGAUCCGGUAAAUAUCCAACGACCCACAGCGAUUUGGAUCGAGAUCCGACAGUCUGUGUCGCGAGGAGAUUCCGAUCCGACGGCUGAAAAUCCAAACGCCUGAGGAGGCUCCAUUUCGGUUCUGACUCUAACAAGGGUAAGCAAAAAAUCUUGCCAAAGUUAAUUGGGUGGCCUAUUAACCCGAAAUACUUAACUUAAUCACAACAGAAAUGAAGUGCCAACAACACAAAUGUGGCCUCCUUGUUGGAUUAUUCAUUAGUAAGAAUUGUUUUGGUUCCUAAAUCUAUGUUAGAUAGGAUGGAUACAACCAUUAUUCUUGAAGGUGCAUAUGCAAAAUCAAGUAAAAAUAAUAUUUCAAAUGAUGGCCCAAACAACCAUCCAACUUUAUGUUAGGAAAGUCAUAAACUACACAUCAUUCUGAUUUAGAAGUCAUAUAAUACCUUUUGGUCCUCAGAGCCAUUCUUCUCUUUUCUUUCCUUGUCGUGAAGUGCGG